AUUCCUUGACUACCGCUGAAUGCGAAGGGGGGACGGAGUAUUGAAGAUCAUCCGGGUGUUGGAUAUCCCGGUUUGCGAGCGUAGGAGGCUGACAGGCAAAUCCGUCAGCGAAUCUCCGAGGCGAAGCAUCGAGCUCUCUUUUGAGCGAAGUGAUUGGAUGUGCUUCCAGGAAAAGCCUCUAAGCUCCAGUUCAGCGGGACCGUACCGCAAACCGACACUGGUGGGCGAGCUGAAUAUGCUCAGGCGCUUGAGAGAACUCAGGAGAAGGAACUCGGCAAAUUGACACCGUAACUUCGGGAUAAGGUGUGCCUUUGUAGCGUGGAGGGAGAAACACCCCGAGCGCGAAGAGGUCUCAGAUAAUCGGUGCUGCGACUGUUUAUUAAAAACACAGCACUCUGCAAAGACGAAAGUCGACGUAUAGGGUGUGAUGCCUGCCCGGUGCUGGAAGAUUAAUUGAUGGGGUGCAAGCUCCUGAUCGAAGUCCCAGUAAACGGCGGCCGUAACAAUAACGGUCCUAAGGUAGCGAAAUUCCUUGUCGGGCAAGUUCCGACCUGCACGAAUGGCAUAACGAUGGCCACACUGUCUCCUCCUGAGACUCAGUGAAGUUGAAGUGUUUGUGAUGAUGCAAUCUCCCCGCGGCUAGACGGAAAGACCCCAUGAACCUUUACUGUAGCUUUGCAUUGGACUUUGAACCGAUCUGUAUAGGAUAGGCGGGAGCCUGUGAAACCACAACGCCAGUUGUGGCGGAGGCGUCCUUGAAAUACCGCCCUGAUUUGUUUGAGGUUCUAACCUGGGACAGUUAUCCUGUCCGGGGACCGUGCAUGGUAGGCAGUUUGACUGGGGCGGUCUCCUCCUAAAGGGUAACGGAGGAGUGCGAAGGUACGCUAGGUACGGUCGGAAAUCGUGCUGAUAGUGCAAUGGCAAAAGCGUGCUUGACUGCGAGACCCACAAGUCGAGCAGAUACGAAAGUAGGUCAUAGUGAUCCGGUGGCUCUGUAUGGAAGGGCCAUCGCUCAACGGAUAAAAGGUACUCUGGGGAUAACAGGCUGAUACCGCCCGAGAGUUCAUAUCGACGGCGGUGUUUGGCACCUCGAUGUCGGCUCAUCUCAUCCUGGGGCUGUAGCCGGUCCCAAGGGUAUGGCUGUUCGCCAUUUAAAGAGGUACGUGAGCUGGGUUCAAAACGUCGUGAGACAGUUUUGUCCCUAUCUGCCGUGGGCGCUGGAAGAUUGACGGGGGCUGCUCCUAGUACGAGAGGACCGGAGUGGACUCACCUCUGGUGUACCGGUUGUCACGCCAGUGGCAUCGCCGGGUAGCUAUGUGGGGAAGAGAUAACCGCUGAAAGCAUCUAAGCGGGAAACUUGCCAGAAGAUAAGUCUUCCUGGAGGCUAGACCUCCCUAAAGAGUCGUUCGAGACCAGGACGUUGAUAGGAUGGGUGUGUAAGUGCUGUGAGGCACUCAGCUAACCAUUACUAAUUGCUCGUGAAGCUUGAUCCU
rnacentral:rRNA from 1 species